rnacentral:misc_RNA from 1 species
GAUGAAGAACGCAUCGAAAUGCGAUACUUGGUGUGAAUUGCAGAAUCCCGUGAACCAUCGAGUCUUUGAACGCAAGUUGCGCCUCAAGCCAUUAGGUUGAGGGCACGUCUGCCUGGGCGUCACAUAUCGUUGCCUGAUGCCAGUUUCCUCGUGAUGGGUGACUGUGCAGGGCGAAUGAUGGCUUCCCGUGAGCAUUGUUGCCUCAUGGUUGGUUGAAAAUUGAGUCCUUGGUAGGGAGCGCCGUGAUAGAUGGUGGUUGAGUGACGAACGAGACCCAAUCAUGUGAGACCCCUACCGAAUUUGGCCUUCAUGACCCACAUGCGUCUUUGGAACGCUCAUGACGAGACCUCAGGUCAGGCGGGGCUACCCGCUGAGUUUAAGCAUAUCAAUAAGCGGAGGA